rnacentral:rRNA from 1 species
UGGGGAAACCCUGACGCACCAACGCCGCGUGAGUGAUGAAGGCUUUCGGGUCGUAAAGCUCUGUCAAGUGGGAAGAAAGCAUAUAGAACCAAUAAUUCUAUUUAUUGACGGUACCACUGAAGGAAGCACCGGCUAACUCCGUGCCAGCAGCCGCGGUAAUACGGGGGGUGCUAGCGUUAUUCGGAUUUACUGGGCGUAAAGGGCGCGCAGGCGGUUUUUUAAGUCAGAUGUGAAAGCCCGGGGCUCAACCCCGGAAGUGCAUUUGAAACUAAAAGACUUGAGUAUGGGAGAGGGAAGUGGAAUUCCUGGUGUAGCGGUGAAAUGCGUAGAUAUCAGGAGGAACACCGGUGGCGAAGGCGACUUCCUGGACCAAUACUGACGCUGAGGCGCGAAGGCGUGGGGAGCAAACAGGAUUAGAUACCCUGGUAGUCCACGCAGUAAACGGUGAUCACUAGGUGUAGCGGGUAUUGACCCCUGCUGUGCCGCAGCUAACGCAUUAAGUGAUCCGCCUGGGGAGACGGGCAG